rnacentral:rRNA from 1 species
UGGGGAAUCUUGCACAAUGGGCGAAAGCCUGAUGCAGCGACGCCGCGUGGGGGAUGAAGGCCCUAGGGUCGUAAACCCCUUUCAGUAGGGACGAAAAUGACGGUACCUACAGAAGAAGCUCCGGCCAACUACGUGCCAGCAGCCGCGGUAAGACGUAGGGAGCAAGCGUUAUCCGGAUUUAUUGGGCGUAAAGGGCUCGUAGGUGGUUGUGUAAGUCAGAUGUGAAAACUUGGGGCUCAACUCCAAGACGCCAUCUGAUACUGCACUGACUUGAGUUCGGUAGAGGAGUGUGGAAUUUCUAGUGUAGCGGUGAAAUGCGCAGAUAUUAGAAGGAACACCUAUUGCGAAGGCAGCACUCUGGGCCGAUACUGACACUGAGGAGCGAAAGCAUGGGUAGCAAACA